UUGGCGAACGGGUGAGUAACGCGUGAGUAACCUGCCCUAGAGUGGGGGGACGAACAGUUGGAAACGACUGCUAAUACCGCAUAAGCCCACGGUGCCGCAUGACACUGAGGGGAAAAAGGAUUUAUUCGCUUUAGGAUGGACUCGCGUCCAAUUAGCUAGUUGGUGAGGUAACGGCCCACCAAGGCGACGAUUGGUAGCCGGACUGAGAGGUUGAACGGCCACAUUGGGACUGAGACACGGCCCAG
rnacentral:rRNA from 1 species